rnacentral:rRNA from 1 species
UACGUAGGGGGCAAGCGUUGUCCGGAUUUAUUGGGCGUAAAGAGCGUGUAGGCGGCCAGGUAGGUCCGUUGUGAAAACUCGAGGCUCAACCUCGAGACGCCGAUGGAAACCAUCUGGCUAGAGUCCGGAAGAGGAGAGUGGAAUUCCCGGUGUAGCGGUGAAAUGCGCAGAUAUCAGGAAGAACACCCGUGGCGAAAGCGGCUCUCUGGGACGGUACUGACGCUGAGACGCGAAAGCGUGGGGAGCGAACAGG